rnacentral:rRNA from 1 species
AUUGAACGCUGGCGGCAUGCCUUACACAUGCAAGUCGAACGGUAACGGGCCUUCGGGUGCCGCCAAGUGGCGAACGGGUGAGUAAUACUGCGGAACAUGUCGGAUCGUGGUUUAUAACGAGGCGAAAGCUGUGCUAAUUCCGCAUACGAUCGAAGUCUGAAAACAGGUGAAAGCAAGGCAUUUCGCGCACUGACCGGCCGAAGUCAGAUUAGGUAGUUGGUGGGAUAAAAGCUGACCAAGCCGACGAUCUGUAGCUGGUCUUAGAGGAUGAUCAGCCACACUGGGACUGAGACACGGACCAGACUCCUAAGGGAGGCAGCAGUGGGGAAUAUUGGACAAUGGGCGCAAGCCUGAUCCAGCCAUGCCGCGUGGAGGAUGAAGGACUUCGGGUUGUAAAAUGCUUUUGUACGGAACGAAAAGCAUCAUUUUAAUACAGGAGGGUCAUGACGGUACCGGAAGAAUAAGCACCGGCUAACUACGUG